GCGGGGAGGAAAGAGAGGACGAGACCAGUGAAGAGAGGACACGGGGAGGGACCUCCCCGGGCGUCCAGUGGCUGAGACUCCGAGCGCCCUGUGCGGGCGGCGCAGGCUCAAUCCCCGGUCAGGGAACCAAUCCCACCUGCUGCAGCUGAGUUCCCACGUGUGCCGCAGCUAAGACUGGCACAGCCAAAUAAACAAGAAGAUGCAGGGAAGACCGAGUGGGAGCAAGAGAGGACAGGACGGGAAGGCAGCGGGAGCCUCGUGGGGAGAGAUGGUGGGGAGAGAGGCGAGAGCAGGAGAGGCUGCAGCAAGAGGCGAGAGUGAGGGUGUUGGCCGCUCAGUCGUGUCCGACUCUUAGUGACCCUACAGACUUAGCCCGCCAGGUUCCUCUGUCCCUGGGGUUCUUGCUGUGCCCCCCUCCAGGGGAUCUUUCCUACCCAGGGGUUGAACCCUGGUCUCCUGCACUGCAGGCCGACUCUUUACCAUCGGAACCACCAGGGGAGCCCAAAGGGGAACAGGAACACGGUUUAAGGAAGAGAGAUGGGGGCGGGCGGGGGAAGCAGUGUGUGUGUGUGUGAAUUCAAGAGGAAACUGAGGAUCAGGGUGAAAGAUGGCGGUGAGAGGGACCUGGGGGCGGGCCUGUGUGGAGAGACGGACAAAUGGACGGGAGGUAGAGACGGGUAAAAGGGGAGGAGAGGCAGAAGGAAGAGAGGUUGAAGAGAAAGGCCUCAUCAAGAGGGUGUGAGCAAAGGAAACCAGCGUGGGGGAGAUUCACGCAGGAAGGUGUGUGUGUCAGAGAAACCGAGGCUGAGAAACUGUGAGGCAGAGGAGCAGGCGAGAAGGAGAAAAAAGAUGGGGGGCAGAGAGCAUGAGACACAGAAUGGCAGGGAGGAGAGAGAGACAGAGGCAGAGGGAGAGAGCUGGGCGCCGCAGGGAGAGAGGAGAGAGCUGGAGAGAGGGGCAGCGCCGAGCGGGUGGGACGUGGGGAGGCAGGAAGGAGCGCGGUCCCUCUCACCUGGCAUCGCUGGCGGCCGCCCCGGCCCAGCCCGACCGUGAUUUAAGGGGCGCCCCAGGGGGCGGGGCCGCACCCACCAAGGCCUUAUCUGGCCAGACCCGGGAUCAGAGAGCUAAAUCGAGCCUCAGCUGUCGGCACCCGGCGCUCGGGGGGGCGCGGGACAGCUGUCACCUCCCCCUGCACCUG
rnacentral:lncRNA from 1 species